rnacentral:tRNA from 1 species
AUUUACGUAGUUUACUUAAAACAUUACACUUUCACUGUAAAGAGGGGCCUAGGUUCCGUAAAUA